rnacentral:rRNA from 1 species
GACGAACGCUGGCGGCGUGCCUAAUACAUGCAAGUCGAGCGCAGGAAACUGACGGAACUCUUCGGAGGGAAGGCAGUGGAAUGAGCGGCGGACGGGUGAGCAACACGUAAGGAACCUGCCUCAAGGAUUGGGAUAACUCCGAGAAAUCGGAGCUAAUACCGGAUAGUUCAACGGACCGCAUGGUCCGCUGAUGAAAGGCGCUCCGGCGUCACCUUGAGAUGGCCUUGCGGUGCAUUAGCUAGUUGGUGGGGUAACGGCCCACCAAGGCGACGAUGCAUAGCCGACCUGAGAGGGUGAUCGGCCACACUGGGACUGAGACACGGCCCAGACUACUACGGGAGGCAGCAGUAGGGAAUCUUCCACAAUGGACGAAAGUCUGAUGGAGCAACGCCGCGUGAGUGAUGAAGGUUUUCGGAUCGUAAAACUCUGUUGUAAGGGAAGAACACGUACGAGAGGAAAUGCUCGUACCUUGACGGUACCUUACGAGAAAGCCACGGCUAACUACGUGCCAGCAGCCGCGGUAACAC